UAUGUGAUCGUCUCUCGCAUAUCAAUAAGCGGAGGAAAAGAAACUAACAAGGAUUCCCCUAGUAACGGCGAGUGAAGCGGGAAGAGCUCAAAUUUGAAAUCUUAAAGGGUUUCCCUUUACGAAUUGUAGUUUAAAGAAGUGUUUUCUGUUGAGGUUUUGGUAAAAGUUCUUUGGAAUAGGACAUCAUAGAGGGUGAGAAUCCCGUAUUUGACCCUUACUUUCAACUUUGUGAUACACUUUCAAAGAGUCGGAUUGUUUGGGAAUGCAGUCCAAAAUGGGUGGUAAAUUUCAUCUAAAGCUAAAUAUUGGCGAGAGACCGGAUAGCGAACAAGUACCGUGAGGGAAAGAUGAAAAGAACUUUGAAAAGAGAGUUAAACAGUACGUGAAAUUGUCAAAAGGGAAGCGUUUGACACCAGUGUUGUUUUUCUGAAAAUCAAUUAAAGAACUGUUUAUGCUAAGUUGUUUAGACUUUAUCAGCUAAUCUGUUUAGUUUUGAGCUUUUCUUUAAUGCACUUUUCAGUUAACAAGUCAACAUCAAUUUCUUUUGCUGUAAAAAAGCUUGAGGAAGGUGGCUUGAGAUUCGUCUUAAGUGUUUAUAGCCUCUUGCCUAUGCAGUCGGAGAGAUUGAGGUCUGCAGCGUAGAUCCUUCGGGGCUAAAUGCAUUUGUGCUAAGUUAUAGCAUUUUAUAGACAACUUGUUGACUAUGAUUUGUCUUGUAGCUUACUCGCUUAUGUUAUUUUACCUACGCUUAGGAUGUUGAUCUACAGAGCGAGAGU
rnacentral:rRNA from 1 species